ACCUAUGGAUGGGGGUCUCAUCAUUGUGUCCAUGGAGCUCUGGUCAACCUAUAGAUGGGGGUCUCAUCAUUGUGUCCAUGGAGCUCUGGUCAACCUAUAGAUGGGGGUCUCAUCAUUGUGUCCAUGGAGCCACAGCCAGGUCCUUGAGGUCCCCAUGGUCACCAUGUCCAUGGAGAUGAGGUUGUGUCCAAUGUGUCCAUGGAGCUCUGGUCAAUGUCUCCAUGGAGUCAAUGUGCCCAUAGAGUCAAUGUGCCCAUAGAGUCCAUGUGUCCAUGGAGCUCUGGUCAAUGUGCCCAUGGAGUCAAUGUGUCCAUGGAGUCAAUGUGUCCAUGGAGUCAAUGUGUCCAUGGAGCUCUGGUCAAUGUGCCCAUGGAGUCAAUGUGUCCAUGGAGCUCUGGUCAAUGUGCCCAUAGAGUCAAUGUGCCCAUGGAAUCAACGUGCCCAUGGAGCUCUGGUCAAUGUGCCCAUGGAGUCAACGUGUCCAUGGAGCUCUGGCCACCACAUCCAUGUAGCUCUGGUGUCCAUGAGGAGCUGGCCACUGUGUCCAUGAAGGUCUGGUCAAGAUGUCCAUGGAGAUGUAGAAGCCACAACCAAGUCCUUGAGCUCCACUUGGUCCCCACAUCCAUGGAUCCAAGCUUGACCCAUCCCCAUCCAAGUGACCCCUAUAGAUCCCGUUCCUAUUGCCCACAAAUCCCCCACCCAAUGGGGUCCACACGGACCCCACAGUGGGUCCUGCACCCCCCAACGGUGACAGGAAGGUCCCCAAAGCCAAACCCAACCCCCGUGACCCCAAUGUCACCCAGUCCACUGCCACCCACAGUGCCACCAACCCCAAUGUGUCACCCAUGGCCACCCCUUUGUGUCAGCCAUUGCCACCCAUGGAGCCAACCUUGGGGCCACCCUCGUGUGUCACCCAUGAGGCCAUAGGGAGCGGUGGGAGGAUGAGGAGGAGGAAGAGCCCUGCCCCUAUGAGGGUGGCCCACGAGGUCCUGGGUGGCCUUGGCAAUGGGUGGCAGGUUCGGGCUUGGCUCUGCCUUGGCCCCGCAGGGGGGAUGAAGUCACCGGUCCCAG
rnacentral:lncRNA from 14 species